AAAGGGUCCGCAGGCGGGUUUAUAAGUCAGUGGUGAAAGCCUACAGCUCAACUGUAGAACUGCCAUUGAUACUGUAGAUCUUGAAUUCGGUCGAAGUGGGCGGAAUAUGACAUGUAGCGGUGAAAUGCUUAGAUAUGUCAUAGAACACCGAUAGCGAAGGCAGCUCACUAGGCCUGGAUUGACGCUCAGGGACGAAAGCGUGGGGAGCAAACAGGAUUAGAUACCCCAGU
rnacentral:rRNA from 1 species